rnacentral:rRNA from 1 species
ACGUGAGCAACCUGCCCCUGACUCUGGGAUAAGCGCUGGAAACGGCGUCUAAUACUGGAUAUGUGACGUGACCGCAUGGUCUGCGUCUGGAAAGAAUUUCGGUUGGGGAUGGGCUCGCGGCCUAUCAGCUUGUUGGUGAGGUAAUGGCUCACCAAGGCGUCGACGGGUAGCCGGCCUGAGAGGGUGACCGGCCACACUGGGACUGAGACACGGCCCAGACUCCUACGGGAGGCAGCAGUGGGGAAUAUUGCACAAUGGGCGCAAGCCUGAUGCAGCAACGCCGCGUGAGGGACGACGGCCUUCGGGUUGUAAACCUCUUUUAGCAGGGAAGAAGCGAAAGUGACGGUACCUGCAGAAAAAGCGCCGGCUAACUACGUGCCAGCAGCCGCGGUAAUACGUAGGGCGCAAGCGUUAUCCGGAAUUAUUGGGCGUAAAGAGCUCGUAGGCGGUUUGUCGCGUCUGCUGUGAAAUCCGGAGGCUCAACCUCCGGCCUGCAGUGGGUACGGGCAGACUAGAGUGCGGUAGGGGAGAUUGGAAUUCCUGGUGUAGCGGUGGAAUGCGCAGAUAUCAGGAGGAACACCGAUGGCGAAGGCAGAUCUCUGGGCCGUAACUGACGCUGAGGAGCGAAAGGGUGGGGAGCAAACAGGCUUAGAUACCCUGGUAGUCCACCCCGUAAACGUUGGGAACUAGUUGUGGGGUCCAUUCCACGGAUUCCGUGACGCAGCUAACGCAUUAAGUUCCCCGCCUGGGGAGUACGGCCGCAAGGCUAAAACUCAAAGGAAUUGACGGGGACCCGCACAAGCGGCGGAGCAUGCGGAUUAAUUCGAUGCAACGCGAAGAACCUUACCAAGGCUUGACAUAUACGAGAACGGGCCAGAAAUGGUCAACUCUUUGGACACUCGUAAACAGGUGGUGCAUGGUUGUCGUCAGCUCGUGUCGUGAGAUGUUGGGUUAAGUCCCGCAACGAGCGCAACCCUCGUUCUAUGUUGCCAGCACGUAAUGGUGGGAACUCAUGGGAUACUGCCGGGGUCAACUCGGAGGAAGGUGGGGAUGACGUCAAAUCAUCAUGCCCCUUAUGUCUUGGGCUUCACGCAUGCUACAAUGGCCGGUACAAAGGGCUGCAAUACCGCGAGGUGGAGCGAAUCCCAAAAAGCCGGUCCCAGUUCGGAUUGAGGUCUGCAACUCGACCUCAUGAAGUCGGAGUCGCUAGUAAUCGCAGAUCAGCAACGCUGCGGUGAAUACGUUCCCGG